rnacentral:lncRNA from 1 species
AUUAAUUUCUAUGCAGCAGUCACAGAUAACAUAAUUCAAAAUGUUUGGAUGAAGAGCAGCAUGAAGAUAUCAUUACUAGUAGUGAGCAUUACCAGUACAGAUAAAUUUGAUGUAAUUUUAUCAGAAAGGUGUUAGUUAUAUAAUUUACAUCUGUAGCUGUUCCAGCUAAUGACUGUGAUAGAGCAGUGGGAGCACAGGGACAUUAUCGAGUUUUAAUACUAUCACCAGUCUUAACUAGCUAAGAUGAAUCCUAUGCAAAGCAGAUAAUCCACAACAGUCACAGUGCAAUGGCCCUGCCAUGUUCUUUGCAAUUUACAACUGUGACAGCUGCCACAAUGAAAAUCCAAGUUGGGCUGCCUGUUGAGAGUAAGCAUGAAAAUUUCUACUAACAAUAUACUGCAGCUGUCUCAUACAACUGUUCUUCAGGUUUCAGCACAAUGUACUGAGAAAGCAGCCAUCUGCCAUCCUUGUAACUGCAGUUUGUGUGAUCACUCCAUGUGCAAAUGGGAGAACACCAUCUUCCCAGUCCUGCAGCAUGAUGUCUUCAGUCUAUUCACAGACAGAAAUAUCAUAGCCAAAGGGUAUAAUGUUAUGACAAGUGAUGGCAGCAUGAGGAAAUGAAAAGCACCACCUUGAUUCACACAGUCUCCUGACAGAAAAGCCCUACUGAGCUGCAUGGCACCAUGUUCCUGUGGUUCUUGCUGUGCUGCACUGCUCAUCCCUGUAUUAGCUGCAAUUCUACCUCAUUAACAUUUCCCAGAAGUGAGCAGGGUAGCCAGCAUUUGAUAGAAGCAAGACAGUAGUGCCUAACCAGAUGUCAGGAUGGCACUAGUGCUUGCUGGUAGUGGCAGAAGCCCACGGCACCCUUCCACAAACAAAUCAAGUACCAAGAGGUGCAGAAGGUGUUGGUGCAGAAGCUUUUUGUGAGAUAGGCACAGCAUUGUGGUGAGAAAUGAAUGGCUGACAGCAUGGACUCAUGGGACAAAAAAAAACAACAAGCAAAAUUAAAUAGAAAGUCCUUGUGAACGGCACAAAAUUGAGUGUAUGUGUUGGGGGAGAAGGAGACAAUGAAAGAGUAUAAUUGAUCUUCUGAACUCUCAGACAGAAGAUAGCUGCAACCAGGAGAGAAUGAAUAUAAAUUUGGCGAUAGCCGGACUGAAGAAAAGCAGUACAUUGUGAGUCAUCCAAUUAAUACAGAGGCAUGAGACAAGAC